AUCAGUUUCACAUCUGACCAAGCCCCGGUUCACUGGGUUCAUUCUCACACUUGACUUGUUUGCACACUGACCCGUCCCCAGAGCAGGAAACUCAUCUGAUUGACUCCUAGUUUAGAAGCUACUUGAUGAUUAAAAAAAAAAAAUCAGGAAUAGGAAUUGAAUGAACUUCCCAGUGUUCUGUAAAUACUAUUCCUAUAGUGUGUAAGAAUCUUUUGGAAGUUUUAUUGAAGAGUUUUCAAGUACUCUGAUCUUCAGUCCUCUUCCCUCCCUCCACUGCACCUACCAGAUACCAGCUCAGAAAGCAGCUGUCUUACCUCCUGCAGAUGAAGCAGCUUGGAGUCAGAGACACGGAUAAAUGCAGCCGAGAAUGCGUCAUGCUGCUGCUGCAAGUUUGGAGGAAGGAACUGGUAGUGAAACCCUCAAAGACCACUGCAGUUAGCAGAACCACCAAGGUUCCAUCCAAGACGGACUUGGGUACAAAGUCUACCAGACACUCCGUGCUCAAGCAGAUCUAUGGUGGUUCUCAAGAAGGAAAAGCCACUCACCCUACAAGAUCUUCAAGAGCCCACUCUGUGCUGCGUCUCAGCUCAGUGAGGAACCUGAAGUGUAUACACCUCCCUGAGAACAGUGGGCAGUCGAGGAGGUUUUCUUACAACCUGCACUCGGCUACUCAGCCAAAAAGCAAAGUAAGGCUUCGACUGCUGGAAGAAGACUGUGUCCGUGGAAGCUGGAACAGCUAGUUCUUACUCUUCUUCUGCAGACUGAGAUCAUCUGAAGCGCUACUAUCGUUUGAAUGGCCAGGUCGUUUUCGUUUGUUCUGUUACACAGACAGCACUAUUCUGUAAAUUACCUGGGCUGUGCUGAAAAGACCCAAGACCACGCCUAGCCGACUGCCUUCCCCUCAGUAUGACUGAAAAGGAGAAUGCAUAAUGGACACUGAAGUCCAUGAGUAUGAAAGGGUUGCUGGCUCCAGGGAAGAGUCUAAAUGAGAG